GGGCUCAUGGUCCAAGGGGAAGACUCCGCCCUGGCGUGGCGGCAAUCCGGGUUCAACUCCCGGUGAGUCCAC
rnacentral:tRNA from 1 species